ACCUCGUUUGUGUUUUACAAUACCCCCUCAAAACCUUGUGAAGACACAUGCAAAUGUUCACGUUAUACCAGAGCAUGCAGAGCAUAGAUCACCGGGGAGAAGAGAACCCGAAUCCUCAAAAAAUAAACUGCGAAGCAACGCUAAGACUUUAACCGAAACCGUGAACUCAAAACGUCUCAAAUCAACAAACAAAGCAGCUGUAUCGACGAGUGGUG